GCGAAAGCUAGUUGCAUUAAAUUCGAUUAAUUCGAAGUUAUUGCAGCAUCGACUAUGUCGAAUAAAGUUCUAGGUAGAGUUAUGAUAAUGACAUUUUCUAUCUAUGUGUCUUGACCAAAUCACGUGCCAGCAGUCGCGGUAAUACGUGGAAGACUAGUGUUAUUCAUCUUUAAUAGGUUUAAAGGGUACUUAGACGGUAUUUUUAGCCCAAAUAAAAACAAAGGGUACUAAUUAUACUAGAGUUUAAUGAGUGGGGGGUGCGUACGAAUGGUGUAGAGAUGAAAUUCUGUCAUACCAUUAUGACAGGCGACGGCGAAAGCAACCUUUAGUUAAAAACUGACGUUAAAGGACGAAGGCUUUGUAUCACCAACAGGAUUAGAUACCCAAGCAGUCUAAGCAGACAAUUAUGAAUGCCAUAGAUAAGAAAUCCAUAGAUAAAGAAGAAAACAUGUACUUUUCAGAAUGCCCUUUUUGGGCAUUGGUUUAUUAAAAAAAAUAAACUUCUCCUCUUCACUUCUUCAUUUAUUGAAGAAAGAGAGAAGUCGAGAUGAAAAAAAUGGCUCGUAAUCUUAUCUAUCAUCAUCAUCUUUCAGAUGAUGAAGAAUACAUUUCUUUUAGACAUCGACUAUGUCGAAGUUAACAAAAAAAGAAAUAGGAUGUAUUUUUGUCUAUAAAUGAAAGUGUAAGCAUUCCACCUCAAGAGUAAAGUGGCAACGCACAAACUGAAAUCAUUAGACCGUUUCUGAAACCAGUAGUGAAGUAUGUUGUUUAAUUUGAUGGUCCGCAAAAAACCUUACCACAAUUUGUAUAUUAUUAGCUUAAUACAAGAGUUGCACGGCUGUCUUCAGUUAAUGUCGUGAGAUUUUGGUUAGUUCCAUAAAAUUAACGUAAACCCUUACUUUAUUUAUAUUAUAAAGUAGUUCACCACUAUAUUGGAUAUGAUA
rnacentral:rRNA from 1 species